AUUGAACGCUGGCGGCAUGCUUUACACAUGCAAGUCGAACGGUAACGCGGGGCAACCUGGCGACGAGUGGCGAACGGGUGAGUAAUGCAUCGGAACGUGCCCGGUAGUGGGGGAUAACUGCUCGAAAGAGCAGCUAAUACCGCAUACGACCUGAGGGUGAAAGGGGGGGAUCGCAAGACCUCUCGCUAUUGGAGCGGCCGAUGUCGGAUUAGCUAGUUGGUGGGGUAAGGGCCCACCAAGGCGACGAUCCGUAGCUGGUCUGAGAGGACGACCAGCCACGCUGGGACUGAGGCACGGCCCAGACUCCUACGGGAGGCAGCAGUGGGGAAUUUUGGACAAUGGACGCAAGUCUGAUCCAGCCAUGCCGCGUGCGGGAAGAAGGCCUUCGGGUUGUAAACCGCUUUUGUCAGAGAAGAAAUCUUCUGGGUUAAUACCUCGGGAGGAUGACGGUAUCUGAAGAAUAAGCACCGGCUAACUACGUGCCAGCCGCCGCCGUAAUAC
rnacentral:rRNA from 1 species